GACGAACGCUGGCGGCGUGCCUAAUACAUGCAAGUAGAACGCACAGUUUAUACCGUAGCUUGCUACACCAUAGACUGUGAGUUGCGAACGGGUGAGUAACGCGUAGGUAACCUGCCUGGUAGCGGGGGAUAACUAUUGGAAACGAUAGCUAAUACCGCAUAAUAUGGAUUAUUGCAUGAUAAUUGAUUGAAAGAUGCUAUUGCAUCACUACCAGAUGGACCUGCGUUGUAUUAGCUAGUAGGUGAGGUAACGGCUCACCUAGGCGACGAUACAUAGCCGACCUGAGAGGGUGAUCGGCCACACUGGGACUGAGACACGGCCCAGACUCCUACGGGAGGCAGCAGUAGGGAAUCUUCGGCAAUGGACGAAAGUCUGACCGAGCAACGCCGCGUGAGUGAAGAAGGUUUUCGGAUCGUAAAGCUCUGUUGUAAGAGAAGAACGGGUGUGAGAGUGGAAAGUUCACACUGUGACGGUAUCUUACCAGAAAGGGACGGCUAACUACGUG
rnacentral:rRNA from 1 species